AUAAUUACUACCGUAAGAGAAUGCAAAACAACUAUUUAUCUUUUAUAGCUGAAGCCGUUAGAAAAACGGUAUUUCUAAAUACUAAUAUUCAAUACUUCUUGCGUCUUAACUUGAAAUUUUUUCAAUAGACUUGAAUCAAACGCGAGGAAUACAAAUAAAAAAAGCAAGCUAGAAAGUUCGAUGAAACUUGAACUCAGAACUUUCUACUCUGAUGCUAUAAUAAAGAAUGCGAAACAACGAUUUGUUUCGCUUUGGAAUUUAUAUUCGACAGAUAGGAUCUUCUUUUCUCACCUCUAUUCUCACUAAAGUAUUUAAUUUUCAGAGUCAUUGUUU
rnacentral:lncRNA from 1 species